rnacentral:rRNA from 1 species
GCUUUUUCUCAGAUAGAAGAGCAGUGAUCCGAAGCAGUUACGAGGAAGUCAAUCUCCCCGUAACUAGAGGCUGUCCGCAGGGGUCAAUCAGCGGCCCAUUUAUAUGGGACUUGCUGAUGGAUGUACUGCUCCGGCGCCUUGAGUCGUACUGCACCCUGAGUGCGUACGCGGAUGACCUGCUUCUUCUCGUCGAGGGAGAAUCCCGGAACGUGCUGGAGACAAAAGGAGCGCAGCUGAUGUCCAUCGUAGAAGCGUGGGGGAUGGAAGUCGGCGUUGCCGUUUCCACCAGCAAGACGGUUAUUAUGCUGCUCAAAGAGGACCCUCGCCAUCGUUUGGCCCGUACCUCUUCGCGUGCGCUUAGUCGCGCCCCUGCGGUAAAAUUUGCGGGAGCAAAUUUGCCGUAUGUCAGCAGCUGCCGGUAUCUGGGCAUCACGGUCGAAGAAGGCUUGAAGUUUUUCGAGCACUUCACAGUGCUAAAGCGGCGCAUGACCGGAGUCGUUGGAGCAUUGGCGCGUGUGCUUCGAGCAGACUGGGGAUUCAGUCCUCGAGCCAGGCGGACCAUCUAUGCCGGACUCAUGGUGCCUUGUGCGCUAUUUGGUGCCCCGAUAUGGUAUGUCAGUACGACGCAGCAAGUUGUGGCCAAUAGGCGACUCCUUGCUUGCCAGAGGCUUAUCCUUAUGGGAAGCCUUCCGGUAUGCCGAACAGUGUCCACUGCGGCACUGCAGGUUCUUGCUGGCGCUCCCCCGCUUGAUUUGGUUGCCAUGCAAAUGGCAGCCAAAUACAAGCUCAAGCGUGGAUACCCGUUGGAGGAGUACGAUCUGUGUCAUGGCGAGGACUUCACAAGUCUUAGCCGAGUGCAGAUGAUGGUGCGUAUUGAGCAGUGCUUACUGCAGACGUGGCAAGACAGAUGGGAUGACGUAGAGUCAACCGGCCGGGUGACCUACAAAUUCAUCCCGGACGUCGAACUUGUCUAUCGCGAUCCAAAUUUUGGAUUCACGAUGCGCACCGGAUUUCUGCUCACAGGACAUGGAUCUAUGAACGCAUUUCUGUGUAGGAUCGGUACGAUGCCUACUGCCGCAUGCUUAUGCGGCGCCCCUUGUGAGGACUGGCAGCAUGUCCUAUGUGACUGCCCGAACUACGCGGAUUUGCGUGACCUCGAUGGACUUGGUGUGCAGCAAGAUGGCGGAAACUGGAUCGGAUUCGAUGGAAUUCUGGUGGAUCAGGAGAGGACCCGACGGCUUACGACGUUCGCCGAGGAGGCGUUCAACCGGAGAAGGGACUUGUAGUCCCCACCACUUGCCGUGUGGUAGCGGCGAAGAAUACUGCCACAGCCUGCCAUAGCUUGUCGUAGGAGGCGACUAAUAUGGCAAAUGGUUGCCCCAUCCGAGCUUGUCGGAGCUGAAGGGGUGAGGCUCACCGAGCCUGUAAUUUCGGUACCACGGGUUGAGCAGCUCCAAGGCUGCUCAUUGAGGUUGGCCCCCUUGUGGGAGUAUCGUGGUGGCUGUGGUUGACACCUAUAUCGCGGGUAGAGUCCUCGGGCUCGACGUGGAUGUUGCGUAAUACAACUCGGGUGCUGUGACCCACAGAACGGUAGAGAUUUUAGAUAGAUCUCGCCCCUACGCAAGGGGGAGUGCUUGCCCGACAAGUAAGUACUCGAAUUGCUACUGGGGUGGUUGCUAUGUACAUAGCUAUAGCUGCUAGUCCAGGGCGUUGGUCUGGCGCUGAACCUAGACCCGUGCAUUAUAUACUCACUUGUGGGUAUAUUAGAAUGCCGUGGCUGUAAUCCCUUCAUUGUGGAACACGCCACGUAAAAUAAGUUCGGAGGGAUCCGAGACACACCCCCUGUCCCUAUCUACUAUCUAGCGAAACCACAGCCAAGGGAACGGGCUUGGAAUAAUUAGCGGGGAAAGAAGACCCUUUUGAGCUUGACUCUAAUCUGGCAGUGUAAGGAGACAUAAGAGGUGUAGAAUAAGUGGGAGAUAUUAGACUUCGGUUUGGUAUCGCAAAUGAAAUACCACUACUCUUAUUGUUUCCCUACAUACUUGAUUAAAUGGAACGUGUAUCAUUUCCUAGCCAUUAUACGGAUAUAUUUAUUAUAUCUUAUGGUAUUGGGUUUUGAUGCAAGCUUCUUGAUCAAAGUAUCACGAGUUUGUUAUAUAAUCGCAAACAAAUUCUUUAAUAAAACGGUGCAUUUAUGUAUUUUUGAUUUGAAAAUUUGGUAUAACUCCAAUUACUCAGGUAUGAUCCAAUUCAAGGACAUUGCCAGGUAGGGAGUUUGACUGGGGCGGUACAUCUCUCAAAUAAUAACGGAGGUGUCCCAAGGCCAGCUCAGUGCGGACAGAAACCACACAUAGAGCAAAAGGGCAAAUGCUGACUUGAUCUCGGUGUUCAAUACACACAGGGACAGCAAAAGCUCGGCCUAUCGAUCCUUUUGGUUUAAAGAGUUUUUAACAAGAGGUGUCAGAAAAGUUACCAUAGGGAUAACUGGCUUGUGGCGGCCAAGCGUUCAUAGCGACGGCGCUUUUUGAUCCUUCGAUGUCGGCUCUUCCUAUCAUUGUGAAGCAAAAUUCACCAAGCGUUGGAUUGUUCACCCAUGCAAGGGAACGUGAGCUGGGUUUAGACCGUCGUGAGACAGGUUAGUUUUACCCUACUAAUGACAAAACGUUGUUGCGACAGCAUUCCUGCGUAGUACGAGAGGAACCGCAGGAACGGACCAAUGGCACAAUACUUGUUCGAGCGAACAGUGGUAUGACGCUACGUCCGUUGGAUUAUGCCUGAACGCCUCUAAGGUCGUAUCCGUGCUGGACUGCAAUGAUAAAUAAGGGGCAAUUUGCAUUGUAUGGCUUCUAAACCAUUUAAAGUUUAUAAUUUACUUUAUAAACGACAAUGGAUGUGAUGCCAAUGUAAUUUGUAACAUAGUAAAUUGGGAGGAUCUUUGAUCACCUGAUGCCGCGCUAGUUACAUAUAAAAGCAUUAUUU